rnacentral:rRNA from 1 species
AAACCAACAGGGAUUGCCCCAGUAACGGCGAGUGAAGCGGCAACAGCUCAAAUUUGAAAUCUGGCCCCUCCGGGUCCGAGUUGUAAUUUGUAGAGGAUGCUUUUGGUGAGGUGCCGCCCGAGUUCCCUGGAACGGGACGCCACAGAGGGUGAGAGCCCCGUCUGGCUGGCCACCGAGCCUCUGUAAAGCUCCUUCGACGAGUCGAGUAGUUUGGGAAUGCUGCUCAAAAUGGGAGGUAUAUGUCUUCUAAAGCUAAAUAUUGGCCAGAGACCGAUAGCGCACAAGUAGAGUGAUCGAAAGAUGAAAAGCACCUUGAAAAGAGGGUUAAACAGUACGUGAAAUUGUUGAAAGGGAAGCGCUUGUGACCAGACUUGGGCGCGGCGGAUCAUCCGGGGUUCUCUCCGGUGCACUUCGCCGCGUUCAGGCCAGCAUCAGUUCGCCGCGGGGGAAAAAGGCUUCGGGAACGUGGCUCCUCCGGGAGUGUUAUAGCCCGUUGCAUAAUACCCUGCGGUGGACUGAGGACCGCGCAUCUGCAAGGAUGCUGGCGUAAUGGUCACCAGCGAC